rnacentral:rRNA from 1 species
ACUUAGAUAUGGAUUCUCCACGGUAACGUAACUGAAUGCGGAGACGUCGGCAUNAGCCCUGGGAGGAGUUAUCUNUUCUUCUUAACAGCUUAUCACCCUGGAAUUGGUUUAUCCGGAGAUAGGGUNUUAUGGCUGGAAGAGCGCAAUAUCUUGUUGCGUCCGGUGCGCUUAUGACGGUCCUUGAAAAUCCGCAGGAAGGAAUAGUUUUCAUGCUAAGUNGUNCU